AGGCAUCGAAGGCAGAAAAAGAUAAGCCUUCAUGCGUUGAAGCAAAAACUCUCUCUUGUCCACAACAAAUAUUUUGAUUAUUUAUUAAAAAAACAAGUAUAUUUCAAUGGAAAAAUCUAUGAAGGAACAAAGCUUAAAAUUAUCAAAUCUACCAGAACAGAACCCAAUUUCACAGAGAACCGUUCGAAACACUAAAACAAUCCAGUAACAAUGAAGAAAUUGAGGGAAGUUGUCGGUUCAAGUUCAAACAUGAAAGCUCCAAAAUCGUCAAGAAAAAGGUUGAUGAUUCUGGAUGACCACAUCUACCGAAUGUUUAGUUAUUAUUAAAAUAUGUAUUACAAGCUAUUCUAUGUAUAAGAUUUCAUAUACAUUUGUUAAGAUUAUAUAGUGAACUGUAUAAGGUGUUCAUAUACAUGUGAAACGGUAUUAGAUAAUAUUAAUUACUUGUAUAAGGUUUACACAUACAUGUGAAACUGUUGUAUGAGGUUGUCUUUUAUUUGUUUUGGCAGUAUGAUUCUAUGUAUAAGAUUUCAUUAUACAUGUACUAAUACUAUAUUAUUAAUUGUAUAAGGUUUACACAUACAUGUGAAACUAUUGUAUUAGGCUGCA